UACGUAGGGGGCAAGCGUUGUCCGGAAUCAUUGGGCGUAAAGCGCGUGUAGGCGGUUCAGUAAGUCUGCUGUGAAAGUCCAGGGCUCAACCCUGGGAUGCCGGUGGAUACUGCUGAACUAGAGUACGGAAGAGGCGAGUGGAAUUCCCGGUGUAGCGAUGAAAUGCGCAGAUAUCGGGAGGAACACCAAUUGCGAAGGCAGCUCGCUGGGACGUCACUGACGCUGAGACGCGAAAGCGUGGGGAGCGAACAGG
rnacentral:rRNA from 1 species